UACGUAGGGUGCAAGCGUUAAUCGGAAUUACUGGGCGUAAAGCGUGCGCAGGCGGUUGUGCAAGACCGAUGUGAAAUCCCCGGGCUUAACCUGGGAAUGGCAUUGGUGACUGCACGGCUAGAGUGUGUCAGAGGGGGGUAGAAUUCCACGUGUAGCAGUGAAAUGCGUAGAGAUGUGGAGGAAUACCGAUGGCGAAGGCAGCCCCCUGGGAUAACACUGACUCUCAUUCACGAAAUC
rnacentral:rRNA from 1 species